UCGUCGUCAUCAACACGCCUCCCGCCGCAGCUCUGGUCCCACCACCAAAUAGAAACUUUCAGAUUAGCCUCGUCGAUCAUAAAUCACAUAACCAUAUUCCAUGAAAUACCACAACAAACUACAUAUUGACAUACAUGUCUCUCAACCAAGGCGAUAUAUACCUGCACAAAUUUGAAGCGAAAUCUCCGAGCUCGAGCUGCAUCGUCUUCAUAGUGCUCACCAGAGCGAUUGCCGCGAAUAUCAGAAAUCCCGCCAAAUGCCUGCACAAUCAAUAUCCAGGAUUACAGAUUGGAUUCUCACGUCCAAAUGUUUAGGGUUUCAUUGUGCCAUGAGAAGAUGCUCAACAAGGCGUCCUUCACGGGCCAUUCCGAGCGGUAAUAGUUCAAUAUAUAUUCGUUAUCUCUUAAGAACUCCGGCAACUCCUGGUACCUCACCAAGCGUCGUUCGAAUUUCACCGUUUUCUUCGCUCUCCCCUUCAUCUCCGGACCGUCCUUGCCGCUCUGACUGUUAUUAACUCUACAGUGAUGACUGGCCAUCGUCGAUCUCCGAAAUCAAUGGCUCAGCCUCACCGGAAAUUUUUGCCGGCGUGAAUCUCGCCGGGCCUCGGCAGUCCAGUAGAUCUACUCCGACCUCCGAGCUUCUAUCGUCGCCUUAGAAUUUAGCCUAUUUAUAUUCGGGGAACAGAAGCAUCUCGUCAACACAGCUUUUUAAAUUUCUUCCCCUAAUUUUUUUGCUUUGAAAAUAAGUUGCAGAAGUAAAAGAUUUUCCCUA